UGUGUCGUGGUUUAGUUGGUUAUCACAUUUGUCUAUAACACAUUGAUGGUCUCUAGUUCAAAUUUAGGUGACACUA
rnacentral:tRNA from 1 species